GAUGAACGCUGGCGGCGUGCCUAAUACAUGCAAGUCGAGCGAACAGACGAGGAGCUUGCUCCUCUGACGUUAGCGGCGGACGGGUGAGUAACACGUGGAUAACCUACCUAUAAGACUGGGAUAACUUCGGGAAACCGGAGCUAAUACCGGAUAAUAUAUUGAACCGCAUGGUUCAAUAGUGAAAGACGGUUUUGCUGUCACUUAUAGAUGGAUCCGCGCCGCAUUAGCUAGUUGGUAAGGUAACGGCUUACCAAGGCAACGAUGCGUAGCCGACCUGAGAGGGUGAUCGGCCACACUGGAACUGAGACACGGUCCAGACUCCUACGGGAGGCAGCAGGAGGGAAUCUUCCGCACUGGGCGAAAGCCUGACGGAGCAACGCCGCGUGAGUGAUGAAGGUCUUCGGAUCGUAAAACGCUGUUAUUAGGGAAGAACAAAUGUGUAAGUAACUAUGCACGCCUUGACGGUACCUAAUCAGAAAGCCACGGCUAACACGUG
rnacentral:rRNA from 1 species